rnacentral:lncRNA from 1 species
GAGCCAUCCACAUGCAAACCAAGGAAGGAGAGUGUGAGCUCCUGGCUGGAGAAUUCGCUCACAAGGGUGAUGUGAUCAUCUUACGUGUAAAAGAAAACCGAAUUUCACUUCUGGUGGUGACUAUUGUCUGAUUCAUCAUUACAGUAACCACCCAAGGAAACCCUGCCCACAAAAAGCAUUCUUCUGGAGAAGUAACAGUUUUUGGUGACACACAUGAUGGCAACAAUGAACGCUUUGUGGCACGAUGACCUCUAUGAAAAAGAGAGAUAUACAGGUUUUGCUUUUGUUCACUCAACUAAUUACCAACCUUUCAUUAUACCUCUACUCGGACAUCUAAACUUCAGUUAAGCUCUAUGUUUAAGUGGGAUGGAUCUUCAAUUUGCCUACCUAAGGGUAAGAUGUCUCUAAACGGCAUGCAAAAUAAUUUGGGAUUUGAAGUCAGGUUUACAGAGGCAUCAUUUUACAAUUAUCAACUUUGAUAAAUGCAGAUUGUCAUGGAACUACCACCAGAAUCCAGAUAGAGAACAUGCUAUCAUCCCUGUUAUAUCCCUUUGUGGCUAAUCCACCACACUGUUCCAUCCACCAAAGUCCCUAGAAGCCACUGAUCUGUUUUAUGUCCCUCUGGUUUUGUCUUUUUCAAAGUCUGAAAUAAAUGGAAUUGUGGAGUGUGUA